rnacentral:lncRNA from 1 species
AUAAUAUCCUCAUGUAUUUGAACUCUUUUAUAAAGCCACAAGCUUAAGCAGACCAUUAUACUAAAAAAAAAUAUUGAAGUAUCUUCUAGACCAAUUAGCAAAUUAGUAAAAUAUAUAUAAAUUCAUUUAUAUCCUUCCAUGAGAAAGAUAAAAUUAUGAUCCCCAAAUGGCAUAUACUCAACGGUUGCUUAAUAGUUAAAUUUUUCUCCAUUUAAUAAUUUUCCUAAUAUGAACUAUAGCCCCUUAUUUCUACUACCUUUAUUUGGACUAUUAUCUUCAAUCAAGCAAUUUAAAUCAAGUUCCUAACUUGCAAAUCUAUAGACCUAAAUACAUAAAGACUAUUUCCUCUUGACCCUGCUAUGUUGCCUGGACUUCUCUCCUUCAAUUUUUAAUUAAACUCUGGGUUAACUAGAAAUUUCUAUCUCAUAUGUAAAUAUUAAAGCAUAUAAUCUAGUUUGAGAUUCAAGGUUAUGACUUCUGAAAUAUUUUGCAAGUGUUGAAAAACCUUUCCUCUUACCUGUGGAAAUGAACUACUCACUCAAUUAAGGUGUGGGAUGAAUAAAAGCAUUUGGACCCUUAUACCAGGUUCCUAAACUCUUCUUAAAGUCCACAGGGAUGUUCCAGGGAGAAAACUUAAUAAUUCUCUUCUGGGACAGAAAAGUAACAAGAUAAUUUUGUUUUUUUCUGUGGUAAACAAGAGAAUGGUUCUGGAGCAAUGAACUACAUGAUACAAAUGGCUACAUGAAUGCACUUUGGCCUCUAGUAUAAAAUGUUUCUUCAGUGGAAAAAGAAUAUGUAUCAGAAGGGAAAAAAAAAAUCUGAUGAUACAGAACAUAGACUUAACUGUGAUACUAAAUAUCUAUGUGCCAUUGGGUUGAUGAUUUAAAUUCUUUGAAAUCCAACGUCCCCUUCCUGGGACUAUAAUCUGUUUACUUCUCUCAAAAUCCUUUAAACAUGUACAUAAUGAAAGAAUAUGAAAGCCUGAGCUAUGACAGAAUUCACAACCACUUAAUAAACAGUACUAGACUUAGUUAACUUUUAAUGUUCUAUGUGCUUCUAGGUGGUAUGAGAGAUAUAUUUAAGUUCAUUAAUUAUUUAAUAGAGGAGAUAAGAUAAAAUAUAUAGAUAGGAAGCAUUGGCAGAGGAGAUGGAACAGUAUAGAGAUAACUAUAAUAUUCUAUGUAAUGGAACAUUAGAAUAUUAGAGAUCUGACAGAGAUAAAGGUCAAAAUUUGAGCUGUGCAGGGUCUUGUCCUGUCUUGGCGACCCUAUAUAAUAAUCUGUAGACUAGUACUAGGAUAUGUACUUAAGCAAAUUCUUCAAAAAAUUAUGAAAAAUACAUAGAUGCCUAAGCUCUACACACAG